rnacentral:rRNA from 1 species
GAUGAACGCUGGCGGCGUGCCUAAUACAUGCAAGUCGAGCGAACGGACGAGAAGCUUGCUUCUCUGAUGUUAGCGGCGGACGGGUGAGUAACACGUGGAUAACCUACCUAUAAGACUGGGAUAACUUCGGGAAACCGGAGCUAAUACCGGAUGAUAUUUUGAACCGCAUGGUUCAAAAGUGAAAGACGGUCUUGCUGUCACUUAUAGAUGGAUCCGCGCUGCAUUAGCUAGUUGGUAAGGUAACGGCUUACCAAGGCAACGAUGCAUAGACGACCUGAGGGGCUGGUAGGCGACACGAGAACUGAGACACGGUCCAGAGUACUACGGGAGGGAGCAGUAGGGAAUCGUCCGCAGUGGGCGAGAGCCUGACGGAGCGACGCCAAGUGAGAUAUGAAGGCCUUCGGAUCGGAAAACUCUCUUAUUAGUGAAGAACAGAUGUCUAAUUAGCUGAAGCCAGCUUGACGGUACCUAAUAAGAAAGCAACGGCUAACUACGUG